UACGUAGGGUGCAAGCGUUGUCCGGAAUUAUCGGGCGUAAAGAGCUCGUAGGCGGUUUGUUGCGUCGGCUGUGAAAUCCCGAGGCUCAACCUCGGGUCUGCAGUCGAUACGAGCAAACUAGAGUGUUGCAGGGGAGACUGGAAUUCCUGGUGUAGCGGUGAAAUGCGCAGAUAUCAGGAGGAACACCGGUGGCGAAGGCGGGUCUCUGGGCCGAUACUGACGCUGAGGAGCGAAAGCGUGGGGAGCGAACAGG
rnacentral:rRNA from 1 species